rnacentral:rRNA from 1 species
AGAGCGAACGCUGGCGGCAGGCUUAACACAUGCAAGUCGAGCGGGCGUAGCAAUACGUCAGCGGCAGACGGGUGAGUAACGCGUGGGAACGUACCUUUUGGUUCGGAACAACCCAGGGAAACUUGGGCUAAUACCGGAUAAGCCCUUACGGGGAAAGAUUUAUCGCCGAAAGAUCGGCCCGCGUCUGAUUAGCUAGUUGGUGGGUAAUGGCCCACCAAGGCGACGAUCAGUAGCUGGUCUGAGAGGAUGAUCAGCCACAUUGGGACUGAGACACGGCCCAAACUCCUACGGGAGGCAGCAGUGGGGAAUAUUGGACAAUGGGCGCAAGCCUGAUCCAGCCAUGCCGCGUGAGUGAUGAAGGCCCUAGGGUUGUAAAGCUCUUUGUGCGGGAAGAUAAUGACGGUACCGCAAGAAUAAGCCCGGACUAACGUUCGCGCCAGCAGCCGC